rnacentral:rRNA from 1 species
UGGGGAAUAUUGCACAAUGGGCGCAAGCCUGAUGCAGCGACGCCGCGUGGGGGAUGACGGCCUUCGGGUUGUAAACUCCUUUCGCUAGGGACGAAGCUUUUUGUGACGGUACCUAGAUAAGAAGCACCGGCUAACUACGUGCCAGCAGCCGCGGUAAUACGUAGGGUGCGAGCGCUGUCCGGAAUUACUGGGCGUAAAGGGCUCGUAGGUGGUUUGUCGCGUCGUCUGUGAAAUUCCGGGGCUUAACUCCGGGCGUGCAGGCGAUACGGGCAUAACUUGAGUACUGUAGGAGUAACUGGAAUUCCUGGUGUAGCGGUGAAAUGCGCAGAUAUCAGGAGGAACACCGAUGGCGAAGGCAGGUUACUGGGCAGUUACUGACGCUGAGGAGCGAAAGCAUGGGUAGCGAACAGG